AAAGAAUUAGUUAAAAUAUAACAUUAGAAUGUCAAACUGAAAUUAUUAAUUUUAUUAAUAUUCUUUA
rnacentral:tRNA from 1 species